GACGAACGCUGGCGGCGUGCUUAACACAUGCAAGUCGAACGGAAAGGCCCUGCUUUUGUGGGGUGCUCGAGUGGCGAACGGGUGAGUAACACGUGAGUAACCUGCCCUUGACUUUGGGAUAACUUCAGGAAACUGGGGCUAAUACCGGAUAGGAGCUCCUGCUGCAUGGUGGGGGUUGGAAAGUUUCGGCGGUUGGGGAUGGACUCGCGGCUUAUCAGCUUGUUGGUGGGGUAGUGGCUUACCAAGGCUUUGACGGGUAGCCGGCCUGAGAGGGUGACCGGCCACAUUGGGACUGAGAUACGGCCCAGACUCCUACGGGAGGCAGCAGUGGGGAAUAUUGCACAAUGGGCGGAAGCCUGAUGCAGCAACCCCGCGUGCGGGAUGACGGCCUUCGGGUUGUAAACCGCUUUCGCCUGUGACGAGGCGUGAGUGACGGUAAUGGGUAAAGAAGCACCGGCUAACUACGUG
rnacentral:rRNA from 1 species